UUGUAGCCCAGGACAAAAAUCACCUGAUUCUACUUGUCAAGUGGCUUGAUGAUUAGUUGACAAGUAGAAUCAGGUGUGCUUGUCCGGGGGCCACAAUAAAAAGAUGUAAUGGCGGGGAUACUGGAGGACCGCAGUUGAGAACCACUGAUUAUAGAAUGCCAUUUGGGACGCACACGUGUAAAAGACGAAAAGCUGCAAAAAAAAUCUAUGUAAAGUAUGUAAAUGGCUGAGGUCCUUGUUGUUGCUUAGGCAACGCUUGGCCAGAGAGCAUGUUGUUGAAACAUUCACUGCUAGCCAGCCAGUUACAGUGCCUUCGGAAUGUAUUCAGACCUCUUUACUUUUUCCACAUUUUGUUACAUUACAGCCUUAUUCUAAAAUUGAUUUUUUUUUUAAAACACAUCCACAGCAAUCUACACACAAUACUCCAUAAUGACAUCACAAUACUCCAUAAUGACAUCACAAUACCCCAUAAUGACAUUACAAUGUCAUCACAAUACUCCAUAAUGACAUCACAAUACCCCAUAAUGACAUCACAAUGCCCCAUAAUGACAUCACAAUACCACAUAAUGGCAACGCGAAAACAGGUUUAAAAAUGUUUUUGCAAGUAUUUACCUAAGUAUUCAGACCCUCGAAGUUGCUCAACAACCGGGAGACUAUUCAGGAUUGAGGGAAAGAUGAACGGAGAAAAGUAUAGAGAGAUCAUUGGUGAAACCUUCUCCAGAGCGCUCAAGACCUCAGACUGGGGAAAAGGUUCACCUUCCAACACAACGCAGGAGUGGCUUCGGGACAAGUCUCAAUGUCCUUGAGUGACCCAUCCAGAGCCCGGACUUGAACCCGAUCGAACAUCUCUGGAGAGACCUGAAAAUAGCUGUGCAGCAACGCUCCCCAUCCAACCUGACAGAGCUUGAGAGACUCUGCAGAGAACAAUGGGAGAAAAUCCCCAAAUACAGGUGUGCUAAGCUUGUAGCGUCAUACCCAAGAAGACUCGAGGCUGUGAUCGCUGCCAAAGGUGCUUCAACAAAGUACUGAGUAAAGGGUCUGAAUACUUAUGUAAAUGUGAUAUUUCAGUUUUUUAAUUUUGUAUAAAUUAGCAAACAUUUCAACAACAAAAAACUUGUUUUUGCUUUGUCAUUAUGGGGUAUUGUGUGUAGAUUGAUGAGGGGGAUGGAAAAAAACAAUUUAAUACAUUUUUGAAUAAAUCUGUAACGUAAAACAAAAUGUAAAAAGAAAGUCAAGGUUUUCUGAAAACUUUCCCGAAUGCAAUUUAUAACAGUAGGAUGAUUUGCUUGAAUUUUGGCUAUUGUUGUAAAAAAAGAGUCCUAAUCAAACUAAAGCUUCACAUUCAUUUGUAAAUAAAAUAGAUACAUAGAAAUGCGUUUUAUCACGAUGAAAAAGGGCACCACUACUAUAUUAUGUCCAUCAUUUCUAGUUAAUAAAAUCUAUGUUCCAUUUGAGAGAGAGAGAGAGAGAAAAAAAAAUUUGAAAGCUCUAAAAAAAACAGAUCUAUAAUUGUGAAGAUAAUGGGCAAGCUGUUGUGUGUUGGAAUUUCUGGCUCAUCGAUGUAUUUGUAAAAGUAAUUCUGUCCGUUUGGUCUUUGGUUUGCUGCUGUGUACUUGAUUUUUUUAUUUUUAUAAUAAUUAAUUAUAAUAAUUAUAAUAAUAGGUCUCUGAUGUGUGCUUUGAAAGAGAACAAUCGCAUUGGUUUUAUUGACAAGAACGAAACAGAAGAGUGGUGGCAUGAAAUAUUUGCCCGGUUGCAGACAUUUCUGUGAUGUCAUCCGAUUCUAUAGGCGUUGUGCUCAGAACCUUUUUUAAGCGGAAACACUGGAAAGACAUGUCAAUGAGGAAAGGAAAGACAUGUCAAUGAGGAAAGGAAAGACAUGUCUGUGAGGAAAGGAAAGACAUGUCAAUGAGGAAACAUGUCUAUGAGGAAAGGAAAGACAUGUCAAUGAGGAAAGGAAAGACAUGUCUGUGAGGAAAGGAAAGACAUGUCUAUGAGGAAAGGAAAGACAUGUCAGUGAGGAAAGGAAAGACAUGUCUAUGAGGAAAGGAAAGACAUGUCAGUGAGGAAACAUGUCUAUGAGGAAAGGAAAGACAUGUCAAUGAGGAAAGGAAAGACAUGUCUGUGAGGAAAGGAAAGACAUGUCAAUGAGGAAAGGAAAGACAUGUCUGUGAGGAAAGGAAAGACAUGUCAAUGAGGAAACAUGUCUAUGAGGAAAGGAAAGACAUGUCAAUGAGGAAAGGAAAGACAUGUCUGUGAGGAAAGGAAAGACAUGUCUAUGAGGAAAGGAAAGACAUGUCAGUGAGGAAAGGAAAGACAUGUCAAUGAGGAAAGGAAAGACAUGUCUAUGAGGAAAGGAAAGACAUGUCUAUGAGGAAAGGAAAGACAUGUCUGUGAGGAAAGGAAAGACAUGUCAGUGAGGAAAGGAAAGACAUGUCUAUGAGGAAAGGAAAGAUGUCUAUGAGGAAAGGAAAGACAUGUCUAUGAGGAAAGGAAAGACAUGUCUAUGAGGAAAGGAAAGACACGUCUAUGAGGAAAGGAAAGACAUGUCUAUGAGGAAAGGAAAGACAUGUCAAUGAGGAAAGGAAAGACAUGUCUAUGAGGAAAGGAAAGACAUGUCUGUGAGGAAAGGAAAGACAUGUCUGUGAGGAAAGGAAAGACAUGUCUAUGAGGAAAGGAAAGACGUCUAUGAGGAAAGGAAAGACAUGUCUAUGAGGAAAGGAAAGACAUGUCAAUGAGGAAAGGAAAGACAUGUCUAUGAGGAAAGGAAAGACAUGUCUAUGAGGAAAGGAAAGACAUGUCUAUGAGGAAAGGAAAGACAUGUCUGUGAGGAAAGAUGUCGAUGAGGUUCCCUGUUUUCAACAGACAAACUUUGUAGGUUCUCUUUUAUUUCACUACAUGUUUAUGAUAUGAAACAUAGCUUUGUCACAUAAACCUUAUAAUGGACAAAUGUAACGAUGGAAUGACGAACGAAGGCCCGUAGCAACAACAACAACAAAAACAGAAAAUACACAAAAAUAUUUUUCAUGAUCUAAGGUAAGAAAGAAAGUAAACAUUUUAAGAAUUGUCAUGUAAAAAAAUGACUCUACUAUAAAAUUGUCUUGUAGCAAAUAUGUGCAUUAAUAAUAAUAAUAAUAAUCUCAGUGAGAUUUAAUCAUUCUCAUCCACGAGAAUAUCAUCUAAGUUUUGAGGGAAAAUGUCCUCAAUGUCCUUAAAACCCUUUUAAAAACCGACAUGCUUCGUUAUGCUGAUGAAUGACUGUAAUGCGUAGGCGUACAUGUGUUGAUCAUUUUACUACUUCGUAUUCUUAAGUGCUUACUGAAAUGGCACCCUGUUCUCUCUAUAGUGCACUACUUUUGACCAGACCAGAUCAGUAGUAGUGCACUAUACAGGGAAUAGGGUGCCAUUUCGGACGCACGUUCAGUAAGGUAACCACUGUCUGUUAUGGUAAGGGCGGCUUCUGUGUACCUGACUGGCAGUGCUACUGUAGUUAAUUACAGUAAAGUUGGGCAGGUUCUGUGUACCUGACUGGCAGUGCUACUGUAGUUAAUUACAGUAAAGUUGGGCAGGUUCUGUGUACCUGACUGGCAGUGCUACUGUAGUUAAUUACAGUAAAGUUGGACAGGUUCUGUGUACCUGACUGGCAGUGCUACUGUAGUUAAUUACAGUAAGUUGGGCAGGUUCUGUGUACCUGACUGGCAAUGCUACUGUAGUUAACUUAAUUAAAGUAAGUUACAUUACUUUACAUUGUGGGCUGUUUACUUAAUAUAAGUUAAGAUAAUUCUCUGUGUUUCAUUAAUGACUGACUGUUAUUUUUGCAUACUUUUUUUUUAAAUUUUGCAUUUGUAAAGAAAGAAGUUGUUAACAAAAAUGUAUUGAUUUUUGGCAUUAUACGAUAAGGCACUGAUAUUUGAAUUGAAUCUUUGAAUGAAGUACACGAGUUCCAACUCUAGAAUUAGAAUGAAUUGUUUUCGAUUCUAAGGUUCCAUCUAGCAGUGACUCGUUGUGAGUUCCGACUGACCCUGAGCCAAUACCAACUCAGUUUGACUCUUAUCUAUCCAGUUCAUUCCUACAAGUAGAAGAAGCUCCCUCCCUCUGUUGUUGUCUGGUGUACUGUGUCAUAUGUACAGUAGCUUGUUAAUAUGGCAAAACAAAAGCGUUUAAUGUUUCUUUUUCAAUGGAAAGUGCUCACUGCUGAGAAUUUUUAAAGUGGUUUUAAAAGCCAAUAAACUUUUUUUAUAGAAUGUUGCUCUUCAUCGUGUUUGCUUCAUUUUUUAAAAUGGCAACGUUUGUAACGGGCGUCGUAUAGAGGGGACCAAGGCGCAGCGUGUUGAGUGCUCAUAUUGUAUUUUAAUGGGAAUCGAACACUUAAGACAAAUAAACAAAAAAAAACGACAGCCAACAGUCCUGUCAGGUUACACAAACGAAACAGAAAACAAAUACCCACG
rnacentral:lncRNA from 1 species